rnacentral:rRNA from 1 species
GAUGAACGCUGGCGGCGUGCCUAAUACAUGCAAGUCGAGCGAACAGACGAGGAGCUUGCUCCUCUGACGUUAGCGGCGGAGGGGUGAGUAACACGUGGAUAAACUACCUAUAAGACUGGGAUAACUUCGGGAAACCGGAGCUAAUACCGGAUAAUAUAUUGAACCGCAUGGGUCAAUAGUGAAAGACGGUUUUGCUGUCACUUAUAGCUGGAUCCGCGCCGCAUUAGCUAGUUGGUAAGGUAACGGCUUACCAAGGCAACGAUGCGUAGCCGACCUGAGAGGGUGAUCGGCCACACUGGAACUGAGACACGGCCCAGACUCCUACGGGAGGCAGCAGUAGGGAAUCUUCCGCAAUGGGCGAAAGCCUGACGGAGCAACGCCGCGUGAGUGCUGAAGGUCUUCUGAUCGUAAAACUCUGUUAUUAGUGAAGAACAAAUGUGUAAGUAACUAUGCACGUCUUGACGGUACCUAAUCAGAAAGCCCCGGCUAACUACGUG